UCUUGUCGGUUGCGGCUCAUCGUAUGGCAGUUUGCUGUGUAGUAAUGCCAGCUGCCUAGCGAAGGGCAACAAAUGACUGAGUUGAUCUACUAUACAAGAUAUAA
rnacentral:pre_miRNA from 1 species